rnacentral:rRNA from 1 species
GAUGAACGCUGGCGGCGUGCCUAAUACAUGCAAGUCGAGCGAACAGACGAGGAGCUUGCUCCUCUGACGUUAGCGGCGGACGGGUGAGUAACACGUGUAUAACCUCCCUAUAAGACUGGGAUAACUUCGGGAAACUGGCGCUAAUACCGGAUAAUAUAUUGAACCGUAUGGUUCAAUAGUGAAAGACGGCUUUUCUGUCACUUAUAGAUCGAUCCGCGCCGCAUUAGCUAGUUGGUAAGGUAACGGCUUACCAAGGCGACGAUGCGUAGCCGACCUGAGAGGGUGAUCGGCCACACUGGAACUGAGACACGGUCCAGACUCCUACGGGAGGCAGCAGUAGGGAAUCUUCCGCAAUGGGCGAAAGCCUGACGGAGCAACGCCGCGUGAGUGAUGAAGGUCUUCGGAUCGUAAAACUCUGUUAUUAGGGAAGAACAAAUGUGUAAGUAACUAUGCACGUCUUGACGGUACCUAAUCAGAAAGCCACGGCUAACUACGUG